GCACUGCAAACACCUAGAAGCACAGACUGUCUGGAAUCACAGGCACUUCCUCUCUGCAGCUCAGGCAACUGAAAACACCAUCCAUCCCCUCCUAAUCACGCACUGCAAACACUUAGAAGCACAGACUGUCUGAAUUAUGCUGAACCUUUCCCACUAUGUAUACCAGGUUAACUGAGGGACAGACAGUGUGGUGAAGAAGGAGCAACAGCACCUCUUUAAUCUCAGGAGGCUGAAGAAAUUCAGCUCGGCCCCUAACUUCUACAGAUGCACCAUUGAGAGCAUCGUGUCGUGCUGUAUCACCGCCUGGUAUGGCAAUCGCACCGUCCACAAACGCAGGAGACAUGUGAGAUGGUGCGGUCAGCCUAACGCAUCACCGGGGGGCACACUGCCUGCCCUCCAGGACAACUACAGCCCCCGGUGUCACAGGAAGGCCAAGGAUAUCAUUAAGGACCUCAGCCACCCGAUCCAAGACCUGUUCACCCAAAUAUCAUCUAGAUGGCGAGAACCGGGUGCGAUGUGGGGACAGAUCCCAGCUGUAGAUAUGUGAUUGGGAACAGCAGGAGUAGUGGAGCACCUGUGUUCAGCAGCUGCUAGUCCUGAAGCACAUUCUGACCACACAGUGGAUUGACUGUUGCAACCGUAACACACACACACAAACCCACACCUGCACAAAAACACACAACAAAAACACUUUUACAGAUGCACAAUUGAGAGCAUC